rnacentral:rRNA from 1 species
UACAGAGGUCUCGAGCGUUGUUCGGAUUCAUUGGGCGUAAAGGGUGCGUAGGCGGCGAGGCAAGUCUGGUGUGAAAUCCCGGGGCUCAACCCCGGAACUGCACUGGAUACUGCUUUGCUAGAGUACUGGAGAGGGAACUGGAAUUUACGGUGUAGCAGUGAAAUGCGUAGAUAUCGUAAGGAAGACCAGCGGCGAAGGCGAGUUCCUGGACAGUUACUGACGCUGAGGCACGAAGGCCAGGGGAGCAAACGGG